AUGGACCAUGACGACCUGCCUAGCUUGGCUCCGUACUCCACCCCCUACCUACCUAGGGCGCGGAGUUGUGACUUUCAGAGUGAAAACCUAAGAGAACUUCACGAGGGCGGACGAAAACUCUGCCAUCCGUGUGCGCCCCACGCUCGUGCCCUUCGCCCACCCAUAACCCCCAUACAUCACGCUCGAUCGGGUGAAAUCCCGCCUCCUGUUCCUCUCUCCCAUGGAGCGCUGCCGCCGCCCACCGCGUCCCCAAUCUUACCUGCCACUCACACCUCACCUCGGUCGCCAGCGGCCUCCCCCUCCACUACAUCGCCUCGGCGCCCACCGCCCGACACCAGACGCGCGAAGAGUAGCCACACACAAGCCAUGGCUGGGACGCGCGAGGCUCCCACCGCUGCCAUCCAGGUGAGCCGCCGUCGCGGAUGCAUGAGGACCUUGCCGACCGGGUGCUCGCCCUACUGGGCCUGGAUCCGGGCGACGGCAAAGGCGGCGCCGGCCCCCGUGCCUCCACACGAGGAGGAAGAAGGCCUGGCGCGCUACAUCCCCAUCAAGGCCCUACUUCCUCUCCACCAGUUGAGUAUGCACGGCUGGUUGUACGCUAGGCAUAGCAUGGGAGCGACGUGGCACAUCCAGUCCAGAGAUCAUGCUUAUGACAUCCUGAAUAUCCGUGGCACAGGUUCAGAACCACUGGGUAUUGCUCAAACUUUUCUGGUCUCUCAGUCGCUGCUCCAGAAAACUUGCAUUCAGUACAACUGGACUCUGCAAGCACUGAUAUACAGCUCCAUGGUGUUAUUUGGGAACUGUUGUUUGGUUUGCAACGUGUGCUUAGUUGUUUGGUUGCAAUCUUUUAUCCGCUUCUCUGAAUUGAUAAUGACAAGUUAUGUUCACCGCACCUCUGCCGCCACCGUCGAUGCCGCUUCCAUGAUGGUCGGGAAGGCGCUGGGGUGUGGGAGCUACUUUCUCAGCCUUGCUGGGUCGACAGCGACAGAAUCAUUAACUUUUGGUGUGUUCAUUUGUAUCAAGUGUUCUGGAGCUCAUACAAGCCUGGGGUGCACAUUUCCAAGGAUAAGCUGGGCAUCAUUUAGCAUGGGCGAUAUGAGUUCGGAGUCAGACAUUGCUUCAGAUAAUUCCAUAUUUGUAGGCGAUCUUGCCUCUGAUGUCAAUGAUGCUGCAUUGCUGGAGACUUUCUCCAGCAGGUACUCCUCUGUCAAAGAUACAAAAGUUGUUAUUGAUGCUAACACUGACAUUAGUGAUGAUACAACAAUGUUCUCCACCAAAAUUGUGAUUUCGGGCGAGCUUAGCUUAGGGUGGGACCACCGGAGAUCGUGUGGCGCACGGGAGACAGAAACUCCACCAGCUAUUGUGUUGUGCCCACCGACAGCAAUAACAAAGAUACUGAGGUCAUUGCCAGACAUGACUGCCCUGUUUGCAAUCUAUUGGGUAGUCCUAUUUGGUGGAUUGCAUCUAUAG
rnacentral:rRNA from 1 species